rnacentral:lncRNA from 1 species
CAAGGUUUUAAAUUGCGGACCGCAUCACCUGAUGCGGCCGCAAUAUUGCGGAUGCGGUAGGCAGGCACUGCAACCGCAUCGGACCGCAAUUGCGGUGUGAACUCAAAUCACACGUGAUGCCGCAACGCAACAGCAUUUCACCGCAACACAACGGAGUUUUGACUGCAACGGCCGCAACGGUUCAAUCCAAUAUUCCUUUUCGUAAAAAUUCAGAGAAUCUCACCUUUAUUUUUUCCUUUUAUGUCCUUUCAUUUUAGAGUUUCUGUCUUCUUAUGUCUCGAUGACUUAAAAAUGAAUUAAAAUUUAUAUAGAAUUAUAAGUAAAAGAUAUAUAAGGAAUUACAAUAAUUAUAGUAUUUUNNNNNNNNNNNNNNNNNNNAUAAAAAAUUAUUUCACGUCGCAACGGCCGCAAUUGCAUCGCAGUGUCCGCAUUAGCCGCAAUCGCAAUACCUGCAACCGCAACCGCAUCCACGACCGCAACCGCAAUUUAAAACCUUG